UGGGGAAUUUUGGGCAAUGGAGGAAACUCUGACCCAGCGACGCCGCGUGCGGGAUGAAGGCCUUCGGGUUGUAAAGCACUUUUGGCAGGAAAGAAAUCGCACAAAUUAAUACUUUGUGUGGAUGACGGUACCUGCAGAAUAAGCACCGGCUAACUACGUGCCAGCAGCCGCGGUAAUACGUAGGGUGCAAGCGUUAAUCGGAAUUACUGGGCGUAAAGCGUGCGCAGGCGGUUCGGAAAGAGAGGUGUG
rnacentral:rRNA from 1 species